UACGUAGGGUGCAAGCGUUAAUCGGAAUUACUGGGCGUAAGCGUGCGCAGGCGGUUAUAUAAGACAGUUGUGAAAUCCCCGGGCUCAACCUGGGAACUGCAUCUGUGACUGUAUAGCUAGAGUACGGUAGAGGGGGAUGGAAUUCCGCGUGUAGCAGUGAAAUGCGUAGAUAUGCGGAGGAACACCGAUGGCGAAGGCAAUCCCCUGGACCUGUACUGACGCUCAUGCACGAAAGCGUGGG
rnacentral:rRNA from 1 species